GAGUAGAACUCUUUUGUUUUCAAACGUCUCUUCGAUAUGUCAACUUCACCCUAUUUGCCACCAGCCACCAAAAUGGUUUGAAAGUUAGUAAUUAUGAAUGUUGACGUUGGAUAAGUUCAUCAAUCCACUGGCGGUUCCUUCAAAUUGACUGAAUCUCUUUCUUGGAAUUAUCUUAUUCUAGAUCUAAAGGAUAAUAGCAUGUAUGAUUGUAUAGUCCCAAAUGGUUUUAUUUGCUUAGCUGCCCUGCCCCUUUAUACUGCUGAUCUUUGUGUCAAAUUACAUUUAACUACCAAUUUUUUUUCUUCUCUUCAUAUUCUGAGUUUUUUCUCGUGUUACUAAUUUUAUUUGAAGUGAUAACCAUAUUUAAGUGCUUCCACCUACGCUUUAGAAGUUUUCCUACAAUGGAAUUAGCCGUUGCAGAUCCACUUGAAAAUAUGGAAAAAGAGGUGUGGAGGUUCUUGUGCGAAAAGUGAUCUGAUAAGGACUAUAAGGUGAGAUGUCGCAAGAAUAAGUUGAAUUGAGAGAAGUUGAAAGUGCUCCACACUGCUGGCUCAGCUCGAAAGCCAUCAAAAAAGUGCAAUAUGAUGAGGUCUUACAAGCUUGUGUCGAUUUGAAGUUUGGGAGCUCUCUGCUAGAUUUUGAAUGACAUUUCAAUGAAACCAUUGAGAAGAAGAUGCGAUGAGUUGAGUUGUUUUGUUAUGUUGGUAGAUAUAACUCCAAUUACAGUCUGUUCAUUGAAUAGUUGAAUGUCACAAACAAUGCUUAUGGCACUAGCCUUAUAAAUUGGAAAUGAUACUUUUGAAAUCUCUGUCAGUUUAUGAUAUACAAUCAAGAUAUUACAUACUAAUGAAUCAGAGCAUGAUAUUUGUUUGUUAUUGAAAUAUCUUUUGAUUAA